ncrna:Schistosoma mansoni type-P1 twister ribozyme
CCUGUAGCUCCUCCAGUGGCUACUGCCGGUUCCAAGCCCGGGUAAAGGAGGAGGGUCGGG